ensembl:lncRNA
CACUGCCCAGAGCUCGGCUGGCUCCGACCACAGCCUGCGCUCGUCCUCCCCCGAGGAGAGCGGGGCCGGGUUCCUCCUGCGGAAGGACAGCAAGCGCCGGGCCACGCUGCACCGCGUCCUCACCGCCGAGGCGCCGGGCAUCAUCGCUGCCUUGGAGGAGAGCCAGAGCACGGCGGGGGCGAGGUUGGACUCGGAGCAUCUCGCCCAGCUGCUGAGCUGCCUGCGGAGCUACAUCCAGUGCCCCAGCCAGCACCAGCUGUGCCAGGACCUCCUGGCACUGCAGAGCCGGCUGCGGGAAGAGGGUCUGAGCCUCUCCCACCUCCAGGCUCCCCUCUUUGCCUUCCAGGCAGCGGUGAGUGCCCGGGCUGGCGCGGUAGGGUGCUGUGUGGGUGAUGCCCUGGCAUGGCGAUGCCCUGGCAAUGCUCUGCCCCUUCCAGGUGAGACGGGUGCUGCGCCGGCACCUCAUCAAACCCCACUGGAUGUUUGCGCUGGAUGAUGCCGUGAGCCAGGCGGUGCAGGCAGCUCUCCCCAUGCUGGUGAGAGGUGGGUGGCACUGGGGGAUGGCCAGGACAUGGGUCCAGGUCCCAUCACCCCUCCAGGGUGGGCUGGGGGAUUUUGGGGCGCUGGGAAAGGGAUGUGAGGGGGGAGCCCGCACUGGGCCCAGCUCCCUGUUUUGUCACCGGUGCUCUGGGGUCUGAGGCCAUCAGGCACCUCCCUGGGCCCAGCACUGCCUCUGCCCCCACAGACCUGGGACCGAAGGCCAGCUGCCUGGCAGGGGACAGCCCCAAGGGCACGAGUGACGAAGAUGACCCCGUGCCACCGAGGCUGCCCAUCCCCAAGAGUCGACCCCAGCGGGGCAGCCCCAAUUCGGGGCUCAGCACUAAAUCGGGGCUCAGCACCUGGGCAGACCCCCUGCCCUCCCUGCAGGCAUCCUCGGCGCUGGUGGCACAGCUCUGCCACCUCCGCAUGGAGACGGGCAGGUAGGGCUCCACUGCUCCUCGUGCCUCCAUCUCCCCGGGUGCCAAUCUGUGCCCCACCCAGGGUGCCAGUCCGUGCCCCCCCCCGGGUGCCACUCGGUGCUCCACUCUCCCCCAGGCUGCUCCAGGAGCUGGCCGAGAAGGAGCAGGAGUGGCAGCGGCUGAUGCAGCAGGUGCUUCGCUCAGGGGACGAUGACACCGCCAUCCCCAGCCAGUCCCAGUGCAGGGGGGAGCAUGGGGAGGCCCCCCCAGGGUGCUUCACCCCAGGGCAGGAUUGCUCAUCCCCAAGCCCCCAGCACUCCCCGGGACGGGCUGACCCCCUCCUCCUCGAGUGGCUGCAGCGGCACGGCACAGACGUGGCCACCAUGGCCACGCUCCUCUCCCACGACUUCACCCUCCGGGACCUGCUGGGCUGUGCCACCCCUGAUGACCUCUUCUACACGGGCAUCAGGCGUGGGCCAGCGUACCGCCUCUGGGCAGCCAUCCUGGAGCAUCGCCGGACCCUCACCCAGCGGGAGCGGGGGGGACCCCCACUCCAGGGCUGUGACACAGCCCUGGGGAACCCAGCCAGUGGAGCCCCGGGGCUGCCACCACGGCAGGGCUGGCAGGAUGGUGACAGAGGGGACACCCCGGGAGCAGGCGGUUGCAGCGGCUCCAGCCCCACCCCAGAGGAAGAAGUCGGGGUACAGCACCCAGAGCAAUAAAC